GACGAACGCUGGCGGCGUGCUUAACACAUGCAAGUCGAACGGUGAAGCAGAGCUUGCUCUGUGGAUCAGUGGCGAACGGGUGAGUAACACGUGAGUAACCUGCCCUUGACUCUGGGAUAAGCGUUGGAUACGACGUCUAAUACCGGAUACGAGCUGAGACCGCAUGGUCAUCAGUUGGAAAGAUUUUUUGGUCAAGGAUGGACUCGCGGCCUAUCAGCUUGUUGGUGAGGUAAUGGCUCACCAAGGCGACGACGGGUAGCCGGCCUGAGAGGGUGACCGGCCACACUGGGACUGAGACACGGCCCAGACUCCUACGGGAGGCAGCAGUGGGGAAUAUUGCACAAUGGGCGCAAGCCUGAUGCAGCAACGCCGCGUGAGGGAUGACGGCCUUCGGGUUGUAAACCUCUUUUAGUAGGGAAGAAGCGAAAGUGACGGUACCUGCAGAAAAAGCACCGGCUAACUACGUG
rnacentral:rRNA from 1 species